rnacentral:rRNA from 1 species
AUCCCUGGCUCAGGACGAACGCUGGCGGCGUGCCUAAUACAUGCAAGUCGAGCGGAUCUUGUCCUUCGGGACAAGGUUAGCGGCGGACGGGUGAGUAACACGUGGGUAACCUGCCUGUAAGACUGGGAUAACAUUCGGAAACGAAUGCUAAUACCGGAUACGCAGCUUGGUCGCAUGACCGAGCUGGGAAAGAUGGAGCAAUCUAUCACUUAUAGAUGGACCCGCGGCGCAUUAGCUAGUUGGUGAGGUAACGGCUCACCAAGGCGACGAUGCGUAGCCGACCUGAGAGGGUGAUCGGCCACACUGGGACUGAGACACGGCCCAGACUCCUACGGGAGGCAGCAGUAGGGAAUCUUCCGCAAUGGACGAAAGUCUGACGGAGCAACGCCGCGUGAGUGAUGAAGGUUUUCGGAUCGUAAAGCUCUGUUGCCAGGGAAGAAUGCUUGGGAGAGUAACUGCUCCCAAGGUGACGGUACCUGAGAAGAAAGCCCCCG